ensembl:antisense Gm15699 predicted gene 15699
AAGCUGACAUGAAACAAACAUGGCAUUUCCUUUUGAAAAUUGAAUCCUGAAAUUGGCUUCAUCUUUCCAGAAGCACAGCCCUGUUGCUGUUCGUCCCAGCUCUCUGAAUGUCAUAACGACUUUGCAUAUAAAGCUCCGUAUUUGGAGCAAUUACCACAGUUUUCGGUGGGAUUUUUCCCAGAGAGGGGGAGGUGUUUGUUUGGGGUGAAGACAGGGUCUGAGAACCUUGCAUACCACAUAGUGUUACCAUCUCUGCCCAUAGUGAAACUUGCAAGGUAAUU